GACGAACGCUGGCGGCGUGCCUAACACAUGCAAGUCGAGCGAAGUGAGUACUACGGUACGAACUUAGCGGCGGACGGGUGAGUAACGCGUGGACAAUCUACCCUGUAGACUGGGAUAACACCUCGAAAGGGGUGCUAAUACCGGAUAAUGUCGAGAAGCGGCAUCGCUUUUCGAAGAAAGGAGAGAAUCCGCUAUAGGAGGAGUCCGCGUCCCAUUAGCUAGUUGGUGAGGGUAACGGCCCACCAAGGCGACGAUGGGUAGCCGGCCUGAGAGGGUGAACGGCCAAACUGGAACUGAGACACGGUCCAGACUCCUACGGGAGGCAGCAGUGGGGAAUAUUGUGCAAUGGGGGAAACCCUGACACAGCAACGCCGCGUGGGCGAAGAAGGCCUUCGGGUUGUAAAGCUCAAUAGUAUGGGAAGAUAAUGACGGUACCAUACGAAAGCCCCGGCUAACUACGUGCCAGCCGCCGCAGUAAGAC
rnacentral:rRNA from 1 species